CUAAUUAGAAAGAAAAUAUAUAUUUUUAAAGUGACAUUUGUUGUAAAAUAGCUAAAACAGCCCAAAUGUGAAGUAAAACUGUUAUGAUUCUGUCCCUGUCUGCUCUGAUCAUGCCUCAGUUUAGUUUUAUUAUCUUAUUUCAUGUUCCAGUUUCUCCUCAUGUUCUUGUUCCCAGCCUUACAGCUCACAUCCAGCUCCUGCUCAUUGCUCUCGCCCCUCCCUUCAUAGAAACCCUAAUCAAGCUCAUUUCACUCACCUGUUUCCUGCAGUAUAAAAUCCAGUCUCACUCUCCAGUUUACUGCCAGAUUAUCAUCAGCUUGCCUGUGGUUCUCCAGCGGUUUCAGCCAUGUCUCGUUUUUUGCCUUUUGAUACCGACCUUGUUCUGGUCCCCUGGUUCAACGAUUCUCGCCUCAGCCCCUAACGGAUUAUACAGUACCUGCCAUCUGCUUUACCUGUAACGACUCACGCCUUGCUUCUUGGGACUCGUGCUCUUUGCCUCGCCCCUGAUCGGUAUCUCCAGCCAUCUGACCACCUGGAUCUYGACCCAUGCCUGUACCACGGAUUAUCAGAACUUGCCUUUUUAGACCCAAACACUCCAACUAAACUAAUGGUAUGUCACCGCACCGUGCUGGAAUGCAAACCCUUCCAUCAAAGUUUCUGUCUGGAAACAGAUUUGACGAGAAUCCGGUCAAAGCACUUCCUGGUUCAUUCACCUCUGUACAAUAAACUGUAAAACUUUG